ensembl:lncRNA
AGCAGCAAAAGCCGCAUGAGAUCCUUUGGGCCAAGUGGAGCCGCAGCCUGGGGACAGCCAAGCCUCUGGAGCGGGCGACAGAUGAACCUGGGGUCUGCGGAAGGACAAGGCACCCUUGCCGGGGAAAUGUGAUGGUCAGCAGAACCUCACGAGACAGAGGCCAGCUUCCGGAUGGCUUCUCCAGGAAGCAGAUGCUGUCUGCCUUUCCCAGCCCUGACUCUGCAGUGGCCUGGUCUGGAGCCAGGAGCUGGGAGCCUCUGAUGAAACAGCAGCUCCCAAGUGGCGGCAGGGUCAUAUCAGGGGACAACCGCUCACUCCUCAGCCCCUUCCACUCCCCUCUCCAGUCCUGGACACACAGGUAGUUGUUGAGCUGAUGGAUGCAAAGCAGUCGCUUGAUCUCUCCCGGAGUUGG